rnacentral:rRNA from 1 species
GGCAGCACGGGCUUCGGCCUGGUGGCGAGUGGCGAACGGGUGAGUAAUACAUCGGAACAUGUCCUGUAGUGGGGGAUAGCCCGGCGAAAGCCGGAUUAAUACCGCAUACGAUCUGAGGAUGAAAGCGGGGGACCUUCGGGCCUCGCGCUAUAGGGUUGGCCGAUGGCUGAUUAGCUAGUUGGUGGGGUAAAGGCCUACCAAGGCGACGAUCAGUAGCUGGUCUGAGAGGACGACCAGCCACACUGGGACUGAGACACGGCCCAGACUCCUACGGGAGGCAGCAGUGGGGAAUUUUGGACAAUGGGCGCAAGCCUGAUCCAGCAAUGCCGCGUGUGUGAAGAAGGCCUUCGGGUUGUAAAGCACUUUUGUCCGGAAAGAAAUCAUUCUGGCUAAUACCCGGAGUGGAUGACGGUACCGGAAGAAUAAGCACCGGCUAACUACGUGCCAGCAGCCGCGGUAAUACGUAGGGUGCGAGCGUUAAUCGGAAUUACUGGGCGUAAAGCGUGCGCAGGCGGUUUGCUAAGACCGAUGUGAAAUCCCCGGGCUCAACCUGGGAACUGCAUUGGUGACUGGCAGGCUAGAGUAUGGCAGAGGGGGGUAGAAUUCCACGUGUAGCAGUGAAAUGCGUAGAGAUGUGGAGGAAUACCGAUGGCGAAGGCAGCCCCCUGGGCCAAUACUGACGCUCAUGCACGAAAGCGUGGGGAGCAAACAGGAUUAGAUAC